rnacentral:lncRNA from 1 species
CGGAUGUUCUGUCCGGGAGUUUCGAGGAUGGCUGCAGCCUUCGGACGCGUGGCCACAUGGCCUCUGACCGCCGGGGCCCCGGGCAGGAGCGCGCGGCCGCCUUGAGUCUGUGUGAAAUCGGGUCAGCGCGGAAGUGCCGUUUAAGGUCUAGAUCUUCAUAACUUUCAGGAUGCAGAACUUGGAUUUUAAGAUGCGGAAAUUAGUGUCACCAGCUUUGGAGCUGAAAGAUGGACGCUUGAAGCAUAGACUCGCUAGCUUAAUACAUGACUAUGAGGAAGCAGAAAGAUGACCUAAGGGUGUCCUUGCUGAGGAAUUUGACGACUUGAUCUUCAAGAGUUGGUUAGGGUUAUGUAAAAUUUUCAAGAUUACUAAAAAUUACUGCUUUUUGAGCAGUCCAUAAAUGUACACAUAAAACAGUGGGGCUAUAAAUAAAAUGGUUUGUUUCUCGGAA